ACCAAGGCGACGAUCGGUAGCCGGCCUGAGAGGGUGAUCGGCCACAUUGGGACUGAGAUACGGCCCAGACUCCUACGGGAGGCAGCAGUAGGGAAUAUUGCACAAUGGGGGAAACCCUGAUGCAGCAACGCCACGUGUGGGAAGAAGCAUUUCGGUGUGUAAACCACUGUCAUGAGGGAAUAAGGCCCGCCUUCGGACGGGAUUGAAUGUACCUUGAGAGGAAGCACCGGCAAACUUCGUGCCAGCAGCCGCGGUAAUACGAGGGGUGCAAGCGUUGUUCGGAAUUACUGGGCGUAAAGGGAGCGUAGGCGGAAGAGCAAGCGGACUGUACAAUCCCGGGGCCCAACCCCGGUCCUGCAGUCCGGACUGCUUUUCUUGGAUAGUUCAGGGGCAGGCGGAAUUCCUGGUGUAGCGGUGGAAUGCGUAGAGAUCAGGAAGAACACCGAUGGCGAAGGCAGCCUGCUGGGGACUUUAUCGACGCUGAGGCUCGAAAGUGCGGGUAGCAA
rnacentral:rRNA from 1 species